rnacentral:rRNA from 1 species
CUUAGGCAAAUCCGGGAUCACUUACGCCGAGCACCGAGACGAGUCCUAUGAGGACGAAGUGACUGACACCACGCUUCCAGGAAAAGCCACUAAGCUUCAGCUUAAGAAAAACCGUACCGCAAACCGACACAGGUAGGCAGGGUGAGAAUCCCAAGGCGCUUGAGAGAACUCGGGUGAAGGAACUAGGCAAAAUGGCACCGUAACUUCGGGAGAAGGUGCGCCCUUUGGUGUGGUCACGUGCGUGACUGAGCAUUGAAGGGUCGCAGUAACCUGGCCGCUGCGACUGUUUAUCAAAAACACAGCACUCUGCAAACACGAAAGUGGACGUAUAGGGUGUGACGCCUGCCCGGUGCUGGAAGGUUAAUUGAUGGGGUCAGCCGCAAGGCGAAGCUCUUGAUCGAAGCCCCAGUAAACGGCGGCCGUAACUAUAACGGUCCUAAGGUAGCGAAAUUCCUUGUCGGGUAAGUUCCGACCUGCACGAAUGGCGUAACGACAGCGGCGCUGUCUCCACCCGAGACUCAGUGAAAUUGAAAUCGCUGUGAAGAUGCAGCGUUCCCGCGGCAAGACGGAAAGACCCCGUGAACCUUUACUAUAGCUUUACACUGAACGUUGAGUUCUUCUGUGUAGGAUAGGUGGGAGGCUAUGAAACCAGGACGCUAGUUCUGGUGGAGCCAUCCUUGAAAUACCACCCUGAAGUGCUUGACGUUCUAACCUAGGCCCGUAAUCCGGGUCAGGGACCGUGUAUGGUGGGUAGUUUGACUGGGGCGGUCUCCUCCCAAAGAGUAACGGAGGAGCACGAAGGUACGCUCAGCGCGGUCGGACAUCGCGCACUGUGUGCAAAGGCAUAAGCGUGCUUGACUGCGAGAUCGACGGAUCAAGCAGGUACGAAAGUAGGUCUUAGUGAUCCGGUGGUUCUGUAUGGAAGGGCCAUCGCUCAACGGAUAAAAGGUACUCCGGGGAUAACAGGCUGAUACCGCCCAAGAGUUCAUAUCGACGGCGGUGUUUGGCACCUCGAUGUCGGCUCAUCACAUCCUGGGGCUGUAGCCGGUCCCAAGGGUAUGGCUGUUCGCCAUUUAUUUGGUACGCGAGCUGGGUUCAGAACGUCGUGAGACAGUUCGGUCCCUAUCUGUCGUGGGCGUUGGAGAUUUGAGGGGGGCUGCUCCUAGUACGAGAGGACCGGAGUGGACGUUCCGCUGGUGUUCGGGUUGUCAUGCCCAUGGCAUUGCCCGGUAGCUACGAACGGAAGUGAUAACCGCUGAAAGCAUCUAAGCGGGAAGCACGCCCCAAGAUGAGAUCUCCCGAGAGCUUGACUCUCCUAAAGGCACCAUCAAGACUAGGUGGUUGAUAGGUCAGGUGUGGAAGCGCAGCAAUGCGUUGAGCUAACUGAUACUAAUGAGCCGUGAGGCUUGACCA